AAAGCCCUCGACCCCGGCUUACCGGCGCUUCCACGAGCGAGGCCCAGGGCGCAGGCUGAACCGGAACCCGGGUUCCGACCUGAAUCCGCUAAUCCCGGGGCCGAGUGGGGGACUCCGAGACAGCCUCCCGGGGCCCUGACCACGCCCCUCCCCAGGCCCCGCCCAGCGCUUGCGGGAGGUUUCCAUGGUGACAGAACACUAGCCGCGGCGCCGGCGCCCUGGUGGCGUCCACAGGCCUGCUCCCCGGCCCUCGCUUCUGCAAAUAAGGGGAUGGAGAGUGACAGCGCAGAUGUAGUGAAGUGAAACACGGAGACACGGGGCCACCGUGGGGCCACCUGGGAGGGCAGCCUGGGGGCCGGGACACGAGGACUGUGGUGCGAGGGCCUGCAGCCCUCAGAAGAUUGAGGCCAACGGACGAGCAGAUGGAGGAGGAUGUGAGCCGGUGCAGGCGGUGUGACCUUGGCCUGGGCAGCAGAGCUGGGAGAAGACACCAGGAGCAAGGGGAGCUCCUUCUAGCAAGACCUUGCAGUGUUGUGUUUUCCUAGAAAGGACUGGGCAGCCUGCAUAGGAGGGGUUCUCCCAAGUAGGAGUAUGAGCAGUGCGGACACGGUUUUCUUCUCCCCGUACCACAUACUGAACAGUGAUUGUUCCUCUCUGGAGGAAGUUGUCCUGCUCUUUGCCCUGAGCUCAUCUUUCCUCCCUCAUCCUGGGAAUCACUUCCUUUGGCAGAGUACUGAGAUGGAUGGUGGCCAGACCCUGCUCUAUAUCCAACAAUGGAGAGUUCAAGGAAUCGGAACUUUUGGGCUGAAAGUACACAGGACACCACCCCCGUCUGUGGUCACUCACAUUUGGAGCCUUAGACUCUAAGAAACUCUUCAAGUCAGGGCUUCACCUUCAAGCAUGCAAUGCUGCCGCAUUGGGAUUACACUGGAGUCCACUGGUCCUGGAGGCCCAGAGAAAAGAGAGGAGUCAUGAUGGCCUGGGAAUGUCAGUUCCUACCUACUGUCCCCAGUUCCUCACCUAGCAGGGUUUUUGUGCACUUGGAUGUCACCUCUGAUAAUUCCCGUGUCAGCAGCCUGGACUUUUGCUGCAGAUUCCUGCUGUCAGGGUACUUAAGUACAGUUAAAAACACUAGCUGGCCAUUAAGCUAAUAGCCACAUGACCCUGAAUACAGUCUUUACAGAAUCAGUUGAAAAAGUCACUAAACAAGCAAAUAACUGCAAACCACAAUGAACAGCAACAAGUCCCCAGGAAGUGGGAAAAUUGCUUUCCAGUGUUGCCACAUUGUAAUAUUCAGAAGGUCUCAUUUUCAACCAAAAACUGAAACAUGUCAAGACACAAGAAAAUAAGGACAAGUCACUGGAAAGGGGGAAUGAACAGACACUUUCUUAGGAAGCCCAGGUAUUCUUAUUAAACAAAGACUUUAAAUCAGCUUCCAAAGAGAAAGAGGAAACCAUGGACACAGGAUCAAAGAACACCAGAGAAACAAUGUCUCACAAAAUAGAGAGUAUCAAUAAAAAGAAAUUAUAAACCAAACAAAUUCUGGGGAUGAAAAUUACAACUGAAAUUAAAAAUUCGCUAAAGGGGGGAUCCCUGGGUGGCGCAGCGGUUUGGCACCUGCCUUUGGCCCAGGGCGCGAUCCUGGAGACCCGGGAUCGAAUCCCACGUCGGGCUCCCGGUGCAUGAAGCCUGCUUCUCCCUCUGCCUGUGUCUCUGUCUCUCUCUCUCUC